rnacentral:rRNA from 1 species
AGCGCAUACGGUGGAUGCCUUGGCAGUCAGAGGCGAUGAAAGACGUGGUAGCCUGCGAAAAGCUUCGGGGAGUCGGCAAACAGACUUUGAUCCGGAGAUCUCUGAAUGGGGGAACCCACCUAGGAUAACCUAGGUAUCUUGUACUGAAUCCAUAGGUGCAAGAGGCGAACCAGGGGAACUGAAACAUCUAAGUACCCUGAGGAAAAGAAAUCAACCGAGAUUCCCUUAGUAGUGGCGAGCGAACGGGGAUUAGCCCUUAAGCUUCAUUGAUUUUAGCGGAACGCUCUGGAAAGUGCGGCCAUAGUGGGUGAUAGCCCCGUACGCGAAAGGAUCUUUGAAGUGAAAUCGAGUAGGACGGAGCACGAGAAACUUUGUCUGAACAUGGGGGGACCAUCCUCCAAGGCUAAAUACUACUGACUGACCGAUAGUGAACCAGUACCGUGAGGGAAAGGCGAAAAGAACCCCGGAGAGGGGAGUGAAAUAGAACCUGAAACCGUAUGCGUACAAGCAGUGGGAGCCUACUUGUUAGGUGACUGCGUACCUUUUGUAUAAUGGGUCAGCGACUUAUAUUCAGUGGCAAGCUUAACCGUAUAGGGUAGGCGUAGCGAAAGCGAGUCUUAAUAGGGCGUUUAGUCGCUGGGUAUAGACCCGAAACCGGGCGAUCUAUCCAUGAGCAGGUUGAAGGUUAGGUAACACUGACUGGAGGACCGAACCCACUCCCGUUGAAAAGGUAGGGGAUGACUUGUGGAUCGGAGUGAAAGGCUAAUCAAGCUCGGAGAUAGCUGGUUCUCCUCGAAAGCUAUUUAGGUAGCGCCUCAUGUAUCACUCUGGGGGGUAGAGCACUGUUUCGGCUAGGGGGUCAUCCCGACUUACCAAACCGAUGCAAACUCCGAAUACCCAGAAGUGCCGAGCAUGGGAGACACACGGCGGGUGCUAACGUCCGUCGUGAAAAGGGAAACAACCCAGACCGCCAGCUAAGGUCCCAAAGUUGUGGUUAAGUGGUAAACGAUGUGGGAAGGCUUAGACAGCUAGGAGGUUGGCUUAGAAGCAGCCACCCUUUAAAGAAAGCGUAAUAGCUCACUAGUCGAGUCGGCCUGCGCGGAAGAUGUAACGGGGCUCAAACCACACACCGAAGCUGCGGGUGUCACGUAAGUGACGCGGUAGAGGAGCGUUCUGUAAGCCUGUGAAGGUGAGUUGAGAAGCUUGCUGGAGGUAUCAGAAGUGCGAAUGCUGACAUGAGUAACGACAAUGGGUGUGAAAAACACCCACGCCGAAAGACCAAGGGUUCCUGCGCAACGUUAAUCGACGCAGGGUUAGUCGGUUCCUAAGGCGAGGCUGAAAAGCGUAGUCGAUGGGAAACAGGUUAAUAUUCCUGUACUUCUGGUUACUGCGAUGGAGGGACGGAGAAGGCUAGGCCAGCUUGGCGUUGGUUGUCCAAGUUUAAGGUGGUAGGCUGAAAUCUUAGGUAAAUCCGGGGUUUCAAGGCCGAGAGCUGAUGACGAGUCGUCUUUUAGAUGACGAAGUGGUUGAUGCCAUGCUUCCAAGAAAAGCUUCUAAGCUUCAGGUAACCAGGAACCGUACCCCAAACCGACACAGGUGGUCGGGUAGAGAAUACCAAGGCGCUUGAGAGAACUCGGGUGAAGGAACUAGGCAAAAUGGCACCGUAACUUCGGGAGAAGGUGCGCCGGCUAGGGUGAAGGAUUUACUCCGUAAGCUCUGGCUGGUCGAAGAUACCAGGCCGCUGCGACUGUUUAUUAAAAACACAGCACUCUGCAAACACGAAAGUGGACGUAUAGGGUGUGACGCCUGCCCGGUGCCGGAAGGUUAAUUGAUGGGGUUAGCGCAAGCGAAGCUCUUGAUCGAAGCCCCGGUAAACGGCGGCCGUAACUAUAACGGUCCUAAGGUAGCGAAAUUCCUUGUCGGGUAAGUUCCGACCUGCACGAAUGGCGUAACGAUGGCGGCGCUGUCUCCACCCGAGACUCAGUGAAAUUGAAAUCGCUGUGAAGAUGCAGUGUAUCCGCGGCUAGACGGAAAGACCCCGUGAACCUUUACUGUAGCUUUGCACUGGACUUUGAGCCUGC